rnacentral:rRNA from 1 species
AUUAGGAAUCUUGCGCAAUGGGGGCAACCCUGACGCAGCGACGCCGCGUGAAGGAUGACGGUCUUCGGAUCGUAAACUUCUUUUAAGAGGGAAGAAACAGAUGACGGUACCUCUUGAAUAAGCCCCGGCUAACUACGUGCCAGCAGCCGCGGUAAUACGUAGGGGGCGAGCGUUGUCCGAAGUUACUGGGCGUAAAGCGCGCGUAGGCGGUCUCUUAAGUCUGGUGUGAAAGGUUCAGGGCUCAACCCGAAGAGGGCACUGGAGACUGGGAGACUUGAGUUAGGGAGAGGAGAGUGGAAUUCCUGGUGUAGCGGUGAAAUGCGUAGAUAUCAGGAGGAACACCGAUGGCGAAGGCAGCUCUCUGGCCCUUUACUGACGCUCAGGUGCGAAAGCGUGGGGAGCGAACGG